CUCGAAUGUGGUACCGGUGCCGC
rnacentral:piRNA from 1 species